UACAUGGGGUGCAAACGUUGCUCGGAAUCAUUGGGCGUAAAGCGCGCGUAGGCGGUUACUUAAGUCGAAUGUGAAAGCCCUCGGCUUAACCGAGGAAGUGCAUCCGAAACUGAGUAGCUAGAGUACGAAAGAGGGUCGCGGAAUUCCCGGUGUAGCGGUGAAAUGCGCAGAUAUCGGGAAGAACACCCGUGGCGAAGGCGGUUCUCUGGGACGGUACUGACGCUGAGACGCGAAAGCGUGGGGAGCGAACAGG
rnacentral:rRNA from 1 species